rnacentral:rRNA from 1 species
AUUUUCGGGCAAGGCCGGAGGGCCGAUUGGACCAAACCCGGGACCCCAUGAAGGUCUUCCGGUGGUAAAAAUAAGGUCUUAGGAAAAAAAAAAUCUGCUUUAUGUACGGCGAAGUGACGUACCAUGGAGAAGNCANCNUUC